CCGCAAUGAAAGCUCGCUCACUCGCCAGCCGACCUCCUAACGCGCCAUUCUCGCUUCUUUCUCCUUUAUUUACACAGGAGUGACAAUAGUGUUCUACUGUGAAUUGCGAUGGUCUACUGGGUGCGGUAAAAAGACUACAAUUCCCAGAGGCCUGUCCUCUCUCGCAGCCAAACAGGAAGUGCGCUUUCAACCAGGUCACGCCCAAGCUGCCUGCGUUACUGAGAGAGAGGCGUUGCCGCAGUGUGUCUGCAGCAGGACGGGGUACUAUUAUCCCCAGAAAUCCCAUCAGUCACAUCCACCCAGGACCGCCCUCCCCAUGACUACCAGCCGAGCGGCAUACUUUCUAAAGUGGGGGGGUGUGCAGUAGGAUGUGGGCCUCAGCUGCUGGCAUCCUUCAUGAGGUCUUUAUUUUCAGCAUCAUCUGACAACUGACUGCAGACUGACAGCAUGAGCAGCACUGUGAUUCAACCGCAGCCGGUCCAAAGCCCUGGGACCCAGCAGAAACCAGGAAGAGGCCCCAUCCCCUGCCAGAACUGCGGAAAACCUUGCAAAGGAGAGGCCCUCCGAGUCCAGAAUAAACACUUCCACAUUAAGUGCUUUGUUUGUAAAGUGUGCGGGUGCCAACUGGCCAAUGGGGGCUUCUUCCUGCGGCAAGGCGAGUACAUGUGCACCCUGGACUACCAGCGCCUUCACGGGACGAGUUGCUUCAGCUGCCAGGAAUUCAUCGAAGGAGAAGUGGUGUCUGCGCUGGGAAAGACUUACCACCCGCACUGCUUUGUCUGCGCCUCUUGCAAGCAGCCAUUUCCAGCCGGUGACCGAGUGACCUUCAACGGCAAGGAGUGUAUUUGCCAAAACUGUACCCAACCUCUUCCUGUCCACAGUCCCGCGCCCAUACAGGCCGUCCAUAACUGCUGCGGCUGCGGGAAGGAAUUCACAAACGAACAGUCCCUGGUUGCACUGGACAAGCAUUGGCACCUAGGCUGCUUCAAGUGCAAAGUGUGCAACAAGGUCCUCAAUGCAGAAUACAUCAGCAAGGAUGGGAUCCCCUACUGCGAGAUGGACUACCAUGCCAUGUUCGGCAUCCAGUGUGAGAGCUGCAAGAAGUACAUCACUGGGAAAGUUCUGGAGGCCGGAGAGAAGCAUUACCAUCCGUCGUGUGCCCGCUGUGCUCGCUGUGAGCAGAUGUUUGCAGAAGGAGAAGAGAUGUACCUCCAAGGUUCCUGCAUCUGGCACCCUCCUUGUAGGCAAGCAGCCAAGCAGGAAGAGAAGAGCAAGGUGACCAGGACUUCAUCAGAAAGCAUCACGUCCGUCCCGGCAUCCAACACAUCAGGAUCACCAAAUCGGGUCAUUUAUGCUAAGCUAGGAGAGGAGAUGCUGGACUACAAAGACCUGGCGGCCCUGCCAAAAAUCAAGGCUAUCUACAACAUCGAGCGGCCGGACAUGCUGUCAUACUCGCCCUACGUCAGCUACCCGGCCCAAGAAAGCCCGCACUACAGCCAGGGCAAUGGAGAGAAAUCCCCCUGUCUGCCGAGACCGUCCAGUCCAAGUUCGAACAGUUCUUUGGGAGGUUAUGGACGUUACACUCCAUCACGAUCCCCCCAGAAUAACAGCAGAGCAGGAGCAGAGGUUUAUCUUGGCAGUAGAACCAGCAGCCAGGCCCCUGAACCCAGUACACUUGGGCCACCCCCGGGUGGUCCUGGUGAUGGGCCCAAGUACGCGGGAUGUGGUAGUUUGGGGAUGUCGUUACACCUGAACCCCACCACUCUGUCCAUGCUGCAGCAGCACAACUUCAUCCCUUAUUUCAGAGGUAGCGAAAGCGGUCGGAGUACCCCCAGCUUAUCCACCUACUCCGAUGGAAAAUCGCCAUCCUCCGGGUCAACGUACAUCGCUGCCCCUCGCCAUUUCCACAUACCUGAGCCCGUGGUCAAAGAUAAUAUCUAUAGAAAACCCCCCAUCUACAAACAGCAUGCUUCCAGAACUUCCUGGCAGGAUGGCGAGGAUAGCAAGAAUGCCAGUUGGAUGAUGGAUGGACAGAUGGGCCCAGAAGACCUUGACCCAUGCAAGUCAACAUGCAGUUUGCCAAUGAACACCUACAAGCCAAGUUUUCCUCAUAAUAAGUUUGCAUCCUUACCUGGUUAUGGGAGGAAUGGCAUCUACAAGGCUGCUGACAUGAUGGAGGACCACGCUGAUCCAGACUCUCACAGCUGGGGAGGCAUGAGAGGUAAAUAAACAUCUCAUGGCUUCCUUCUAGCCGACAGCUUUUUAAACGUCAUGACUUCAUUUUACUUUUUCCUUUCUUUAUUUCCCAGAAUACAAGGUCUACCCCUAUGAAAUACUGGCAGUCACACACAGAGUGAAAGUGAAACUUCCCAGAGACAUUGAUCGCACACGACUAGAGCGCCACCUAUCGCCCGAGGACUUCCAGAGGGUGUUCGGAAUGACGCUAGAACACUUUGACCGCCUGGCCCUAUGGAAGAGGAACGACUUGAAGAAGAGGGCGCGCCUUUUUUAAGACAGGAAAGUCUCUGAUCCACAAAUUAACAACGUAAUGCCUUGCCAUUAUAGUAUAGAACCGCCAUUUUGUCAAUCCUGAUGCGAUGCAAUGAUACACUUCAUGGCUUUACGACCAUCUGUGACUUAUGAUAGACUUUCUGUUUUGUUUUUUGUUUUUUGUUUUUUUGCAUGACCACUCGCCUGAUUUUUUAAUCACUUGCUGACUGUUCUCAUGAUAAUUUAGCAGGAAAUCAUUCAACUAUGUUACUCACUCAUGUAUUAUUUAUUAUAAGACCAUUCUUUGUUUAAACCAUAUAACUCAUUCUAUAGAAACAAGGAAAGCAGGAUUAGAUACGAACAAAAAAAUGACAUUUUAAAUAGUCAAAUAAAAUCUCGUUACAUUAAAUAUGAGAAUUAACAAUCACAUAUUUUCACAUAAAUUUCCUUCAUCCGCCAGAUAAUAACAAAACAACAUUUUUUAAAAUUGAUUAAACUAAAAUAAAACUGAACUACUCAUGCUUUGAUAAUGAUUUUUAACAUUAGUAAGAGUAUUUGAUGCCAAAUGGAGAACCCACUAGUCAAUGUUUAUUUAACGAUUUAAAAUGCCAUUUUUAAACAAGUUCAAUUAAAAACAUACAGUGCAGCGCAAUAAAACUAUUCCACGUAAUUUCUUGAUAUAGCGAAAAUUAGUGGUCAACCAGUAAAUAUUUCUGAUUUGUGUUUUCAUUUAUAUUUACUCGUUACAUUUUAAUUUGCGAAAAUAAAACCUAAAUAAAAUAAAGCUACCGACUAACUUUUUUUUUUUAACACUAAACAUUUAUAUUAUAAUCCCAUGUCCUUGAUUGACCACAUGGAGAUAAUUACCAAAUCAGUUAUGUAUUCUGAAAAUGUAUUUAUUAAUGUAAUGCAUAUUUUAAAAAAAACAAAAAACUUCAAUAACAAAAUAGUAAAAGACGUAAAAGCAAAAUACAUUUUUGGUGUGUAUUUUCAUGAGAACUUUAUUUCCAAUGUAUGCUGCACUGUAAACGUGCUAUUAUCAGGCAUAUAUUUAUUAUUUCAGUCCAUAUCUGCUAAUAAUUGUGUUUUAUAAGCUACUUCCUGGACAAUAAUGCAAAUAGGAGAAAUCCGAACACUUUGUUUUCCUACCGCUGUUUUGUGACAAAACAAAAUUAGAUCGAGAUCAAUAAUUUUAAAACCUUUUACAUGAUGAAUGUGACCUAUAAUCUGUGCUGUACAACUCCAAAUCUGUCUUCUUCCGCUUAACCGAGGUCAGGUCGCGGGGGCAGAAGCCUAAGCAGUGAAGCCCAGACUUCCCUCUCCACAGCCACUUCGUCCAGCUCCUCCCGGGGGAUCCCGAGGCGUUCCCAGGCCAGCCGGGAGACAUAGUCUUCCCAACUUGUCCUGGGUCUUCCCCGUGGCCUCCUACUUAUCGGACAACUGUACAACUCGUUUGAAAAAACAAAAAAUCAAUCCGGGGAAGUGAAAAAAAAAACAAAAAAACAACAGAUAUUGUGAAUCACUUUAAAACUCCAUUUAAAGGGCCACCUAAGAACCUCAAAUAAAAGUUAAACAUGAUGAAGUGGUGACUUAUCCAGGGUGUACCCUGCCUUCCGGCCGAAACGCAACCCAGAAAGGGACAAGCGGCAGAAAAUGGAUGGAUGGAUGGACUUCUCCUAGGCUUUUCCUGACAUUUUGGAGCCAUAUCUAGUACUGUGAGUUAUGGUCCACAGAACUUGAAGGCAUGAGUUUUCCUUGCCCUUUUGUGGGUUCUUCCGAGGAUGUUGUAGUCGUAAUGAUUUGUGCAGUCCUUUGAGACAUUUGUGAUUUGGGGCUAUAUAAAUAAACAUUGAUUGAUUGAUUGAUUGAUCAGCCAGGGGAAGAGGACACAAAAAUUCCCACAGCCUUCAAAAUACCUUUUAAGAACACACAAGACAUUCAUUACCAAGUCGAGAAAAUAUGACACAACCGGGACGUUGCCAAGAACUGGAAGUCCCUUCACAUUUGGAUUCAAUGGGAGGCUGCCUAGACCAUGGCCACAGAAGGAGCUGCAUGCGACAAUAAUGCUUUGUCUAUCAAUCAAUCAAUGUUUAUUUAUAUAGCCCUAAAUCACAAGUGUCUCAAAGGAGAGAUCCCACAUCACGGCAAGGAAAAACUCACAUCCCAGUGGGAUGUCAAUGAGAAUGACUAUGACAAACCUUGGAGAGGACCGCAGAUGUGGGUGAACCCAUCCCUCUUGGGGUGACCGAAUGCAAUGGACCUCGAGUGGGUCUAGCAUAAUAUUGUGGGAGUCCAGUCCAUAGUGGAUAUAACAUAAUAGUGAGAGUCCAGGCCAUAGUGGGGCUAGCAGGAGACCAUCCCGAGAGGAGACGGGUCAGCAGCGCAGAGAUGUCCCCAACCGAUGCACAGGCGAGCGGCCCACCCCAGAUCCUGACUCUGGACAGCGAGCACUUCACCUGUGCCCGCCCCCCCCCACCCCACCCCCGCCUUCCACAAGGGAGAGGGGGGCAGAGCAAAAAAGAAUAGAAACGGCAGAUCAACUGGUCUAAAAGGGGGGGCUAGAGUGAGUUUUACGAUGGGACUUAAAUGCUUGUACAUUUCUUAACUGUUACCGGGAGGGGACUCCAGAGUACUGGAGCCCGAUUAGAAAACGCUCUAUAGCCUGCGGACUUUUUUUGGGCUCUGGGAAUCACUAAUAAGCCGGAGUUCUUUGAACGCAGAUUUCUUGCCGGGACAUAUGGUACAAUACAGGUAGACCGUGUAGUAUUUUAUACGUAAGUAGUAAAACCUUAAAGUCACAUCUUAAGUGCACAGGAAGCCAGUGCAGGAGAGCCAGUACAGGCGUAAUAAGAUCAAACUUUCUUGUUCUUGUCAAAAGUCUAGCAGCCGCAUUUUGUACCAACUGUAAUCUUUUAGUGCUAGACAUGGGGAGACCCCAAAAUAAUACGUUACAGUAAUCGACAUGAGACGUAACGAACGCAUGAAUAAUGAUCUCAGCGUCGAACGAAUUUGAGCAAUAUUACGAAGAUUAAAGAAGGCCGCUUUAGUAACACUCGUAAUGUGUGACUCAAACGAGAGUCUGGGUCCAAAUAAACCAUGGUUGAUUUAUUUUUGGGGUCGGGGGCAUAAUUCUAAAAUGUAUGUUUGGUACAAACACAACACUUAGCAAAAUAACACCAGACCCACAGUGAAGCAUGCUGGUGGCAGCAUCAUGGUUUGGGUUGUUUUUCUUCAGCUGGAACCGAGGCUCCAAAUACCAGUCAAUGAACAGAAUCUUCAAAGCUUCGGCUUGAAAGCUGACAAGGACAUUCCAUCUUUUGGCAUAACAACGAGGGACACGUCCAAAUGAACAAAAUAAUUGUUUCACCAGAUGAUAAAUCGUUUUUAGAAUCGCUCAUCGAGACCUCAAUCCGACCCAAUGUCUGACGGGACCUGCAAUCUUGACAGAUUUUCAGAUAUAUUUUGUAAAGAAUCCAGUUAUACUCUUAACCCAAAAACUCGGAGCGUGUGCAGGCUGUUGGACGUUUUGAAAUUCCAUCCAUCCAUCCAUCCAUUUUCUACGGCUUAUCCGAGGUCAGGUUGCGGGGCCAGCUGCCUAAGCAGGGAAGCCCAGACUUCCCCUCUCCUCAGCCACUUUGUCCAGAUCCUAAUGGGGGAUCCCAAGGCGUUCCCAGGCCAGCCUGGAAACAUAGUCUUUACCAACGUGACCUGGGUCUUCCCCGUGGCCUCCUACCGGUCGGACGUGCCCUAAACUCCUCCCUAGGGUUCCUGACCAGAUGCCUGAACCACCUCAUCUGGCUCCUCUCGAUGUGGAGAAGCAGCGGCUUUACUCUGACCUCCUCCCGGAUGACAGAGCUUCUCACCCUAUCCCAAAGGGAGAGACCCGCCACCCGGCGGAGGAAACUCAUUUCGGCCGCUUGUACCCGUCAUCUUGUCCUAUUGGUCAUGACCCAAAGCUCAUGACCAUAGGUGAGGAUGGGAACGUAGAUCGACCGGUAAAUUGAGAGCUUUGCCUUCCGGAUCAGCUCCUUCUUCGCCACAACGGAUCGAUACAGCAUUCACAUUACUGAAGACGCCGCACCGAUUUCACCAUCCACUCUUCCCUCACUCGUGAACAAGACUCAGAGGUACUUGAACUCCUCCACUUGGGGCAAGAUCUCCCGUUUUGAAAUUGUUCCCCUUAAAAAAAUUUAGUUUUUCUUCAUGUAGUUUUACAGAUUGUAGGUCACAUCAAUGGUUGAAGGAGUUUGAAAUGCCUUAGCUCGGUCUAAUUGUUUUUGAACAGGUGUGCAUGUAUGUAUAUAUAUAUAUGUGUGUGUGUGUGUACUGUACAUACAUGCACACACACUUGACCACGUAUUUAUUCUGCUUUGGUUGUGGCUUGAAGGCAUCAUUGCGUAGAAGACUGCAACAACGACGUGUGCUACACAUGCUAGCGGAGUAUAUAUAUUUCUGUAUACCAGCCCUUCUGCAUGUCGACAGGUUUCAACGUCAAUACUGUGUGUGAUUAUUUUUGCUUCGAACGACACGGGAAAUCUCGGGAUUUCAUUGUGGCAUGAAGGAAGAUGCUUUCGUUAUUGGAGAAGAAAAAAAAACAUAUCAGAUGCAUUUUUGCGCAUUGUAAAGUCCAAAAGAGUUGUCAUGGUUUCUUGUUUCUGUAACAUCCCUCUGCUAUUAAAGUGCUUUAUCCAAACCA